rnacentral:rRNA from 1 species
UUGACCUCGGAUCAGGUAGGGUUACCCGCUGAACUUAAGCAUAUCAAUAAG